AAAUGCCUUAAUUGGUGGUUUUGUUGCUAGGAAUUCUGGUUCUGCUUUGAUCUCGCAAUUUUGCAUAACGAGUGCACCUUUCGAAGCAGGUGUGGUCCUUCCCUGAGCAGUUACCAUGCAAUUCUGACCAUCACCUGGCUUCCUUACUAUUAAUUUGCAGUUUUGGAAUACGGCAGCUGCAUCACCAAACACGAAAUCUAUGGUUCCUGUAAUGAUACAAUCGCGAUAAAACUGUCUACCAGAGUGUGCGUAUAGUGUGU
rnacentral:lncRNA from 1 species